rnacentral:snRNA from 1 species
GUUGAUUUGGGGGCGAGAUU